UACGGGGGGGGCAAGCGUUGUUCGGAAUUACUGGGCGUAAAGGGCUCGUAGGCGGCCAACUAAGUCGGAUGUGAAAGCCCUCGGCUUAACUGAGGAAGUGCAUCCGAAACUGAGUAGCUGGAGUACGAAAGAGGGUCGCGGAAUUCCCGGUGUAGAGGUGAAAUUCGUAGAUAUCGGGAGGAACACCGGUGGCGAAGGCGGCGACCUGGGUCGAGACUGACGCUGAGGCGCGAAAGCGUGGGGAGCAAACAGG
rnacentral:rRNA from 1 species